rnacentral:rRNA from 1 species
GUGUAAAGGAUGUUCCGCCUAUUAAUUUACUUUUAUUAUGUUGGUGUAUAUCUGGUUUAAUAUUAUUGUUGAAUAAUAUAAGUUUGUGUAAUUUUAUUAGUUAAGCCAAGUCUAUGUGCUGCUUAUAGAAGUAUUCAUGCGUUACUUUAAUAAAGUUUUAGUUGUAAGUACUAUCAUAUUCAGGACUUAAAAGUAAUGUUAAAUUAGUUUGUUAAUGUGAAAUAAGUUUAGCUCAUGUACACA